rnacentral:lncRNA from 1 species
UGAGAGGGUCCCAGAUUUCUGAUCCACUUGAAGCCCCUCUGAUCUAGGAGGGCUCUGUAACAGAAAUAAAAAACUCAAUAUUCUCCUGCAGAAACAGAAUGGGCCACCUCUUGGGGAUACACCUUUUAGCCCUUAGAGUGGCUACAAUAAGAGGAUGGCAAACUUCAUCUACCAGCUUCUAGCCAAUGGAAAGUUCUUAAAAUUCUUCACCAAGCCUUCCACCUGGGAAAGGAUAAAACCUAUUAAUUGGCCCAAAGGUUGUUCUCAGGAACUGAAACAACUAUUGGAGGCCCAAUCCCGUGAACUAGGGGCCCACUUUAUUCAACCCAGGGGACCUAGUACUGGUAAAGGCUCUUCCUUCUCUUUUUCCCUCUCUAGGCCUGGAUUGGGCGGGAACUUAGACUGCACUUCUUUCUACUCUUUCAGCAGUAAAGGUCACUGGAAUAGAUUAUUGGAUUCAUAUACUCAAGUAAAGGCCUGGAGAACUGACAGAAUGACUUCUGUUGACCCAGAAGAGCACCCGAAGUACCAAUGUGAAGAGAGACCUUGAGCUGAUGAUCAGAAAAGUGUCCAGUGUCUGUGUACCUAAUUCCACUUGGUCAUGAGACAAGAACCUGGAACUCGCCAAACUGCAGGAGUGAAAGAGCUGUAACACUCCCUUCUCCUCACUGAACUACAGGAAUGAAGAAGCCACUGGGUGUCUCUCCCUUCUGCUCGCUGAACUAUGGGACUAAAGAAGCUGCAACAUCAGCAUCUGUUAUUUUUUGACUUUUUAAUAAUAGCCAUUCUGACUGGUGUGAGAUGGUAUCUCAUUGUGGUUUUGAUUUGCAUUUCUGUAAUGAUAAGUGAUGUUGAGAUUAUUUUCAUAUGAUUGUUGGUCACAUAGAUGUCUUCUUUUGAAAAGUGCCUGUUCAUGUCCUUUGCCCACUUUUUAAUGGGGUUGUUUGGACAAUAAACGUUCUUAAAUGUGCUCAACCCUAUAAGUAAUAAGAAAAAAUGCACAUUGAAACACCAUAUGAUACCACUGUUCACCUACCACAAUGGCUAAAAUGAAAGAAAUAAUAACAAAUUUAAACAAGAAUAUGGAGCAACUGGAACUCACACACUGCUGGUUGUAAUGUAAAUUUGCACAAGCACUUCAGAAAACUGUCACUAUCUAUAAAACUGAACAUAUGUAAACCCUUUAUGGAAGGACCUUGAAGAGAGUAAUAGAAAAAGUCUGAAAGCCUAGAAAACUGUGUUAGUAGAUGCCUGUAUUAGUCCACUUUAAAAGUGCUAUAAAGAACUACCUGAGACUGGGUAACUUAUAAAGAAAAGAGGUUUAAUUGACAAGAAGGCAAAGGGGAAGAAAGGCACAUCUUACAUAGCAGCAGAGGAGAGAGAAAGAAGAAGUGCCACACUUCCUCUUUCUUAAAACUAUCUUCUUAAAACACUUCUUAAAACUAUCAGAUCUCAUGAGAACUCUCUUACUAUCAUGAGAACAGCAUGGGGAAAACCGCUGCCAUGAUUCAGUCACCUCCCACCAGGUACCUCCCUAAUAUGUGGGGAUUACAGUUCAAGAUGAGAUUUGAGUGGGAACACAGAGCCAAACCAUAUCACACUGAGAGGUGAAGCCAGCUGGGCUUCUGGGUAGGGUGGGGACUUGGAGAACUUUUCUGUCUAGCUAAAGGAUUGUAAACACACCAAUCAGUGCUCUGUGUCUAGCUAAAGGUUUGUAAAUGCACCAAUGAGCACUCUUUAAAAUGGACCAAUCAGUGCUCUGUAAAAUGGACCAGCAGGUGCUGUAAAGACACAUGCACACAUAUG